CUCGUAGGCGGUCCAUCGCGUCGGGAGUGAAAAGCUGGGGCUUAACCCCAGUCCUGCUUUCGAUACGGGUGGACUAGAGGUAGGCAGGGGAGAACGGAAUUCCUGGUGUAGCGGUGAAAUGCGCAGAUAUCAGGAGGAACACCGGUGGCGAAGGCGGUUCUCUGGGCCUUACCUGACGCUGAGGAGCGAAAGCGUGGGGAGCAAACAG
rnacentral:rRNA from 1 species